UGAGAAUUCUUGUGCGGUGCAACAGAAUUCUCUCAAUUCAAUGGUAGUAGUAAUUGCUGGUCCAAAAAGAAGACAAGAUACUUCUCAUCGAAGGGAAGUUGGCGUACAGGCGUGACAGAGAGACAUGGUGGAUUACGUUGCAAAAAAUGAUGCCCAAAUCAAACAUGGAAUCACCUAAUCCAAAUUUUCGUUCAUGGAAUUCUGGUAGUCGGUACUUCGAGAAUCCAGAUCACAUCCUUGCAUAUGGAAUCAACAAUUCUAACAUCAUUCUCGGUGCAAUUCCACUGGAAUACAUGAGAUCCAGUUAGGCGGGCACCCUCUUGGUCCACCAAUUUGCUUGGAACUCUGGAAGAAUUUACAAGAGAUGCUCAGUAAAAUUUCAUACAGGUAACGAUCUUGCACAAACACAAGAACAAAAGAAACAAUUCAGUGCCUAGAUCGAAGAGAUCUUUUGCCAAGAAUACAGAACAUACUUCCUAUCCAUAUCAAAUAAAUCAGAGUGAU
rnacentral:lncRNA from 1 species